rnacentral:rRNA from 1 species
UACGUAGGGGGCGAGCGUUGUCCGGAUUUAUUGGGCGUAAAGAGCUCGUAGGCGGCUGUUCGAGUCGGGUGUGAAAUCCUGAGGCUUAACCUUGGGUCUGCAUUCGAUACUGGGCGGCUUGAGUCUGGUAGGGGGAUCUGGAAUUCCUGGUGUAGCGGUGGAAUGCGCAGAUAUCGUAAGGAAGACCAGUGGCGAAGGCGGGUCUCUGGACAGUUCCUGACGCUGAGGCACGAAGGCCAGGGGAGCAAACGGG